GAGCCAAUCAAACAAUUUAAGCAUCAUUUCAUUCCAGUGACCCAGAAUUAAGUAAGUUUGACUACAUUUUAUUCAGAGAGCAUUUUGGCUGUAGAGCAAUGUAAUCAAUGUAAAUUAGUUCUGU